rnacentral:rRNA from 1 species
UACAGAGGGUGCGAGCGUUAAUCGGAAUUACUGGGCGUAAAGCGCGCGUAGGCGGCUUUGCAAGUCGGGUGUGAAAUCCCCAGGCUUAACCUGGGAACUGCAUUCGAGACUGCAUUGCUAGAGUAUGGGAGAGGGAAGUGGAAUUUCCGGUGUAGCGGUGAAAUGCGUAGAUAUCGGAAGGAACACCAGUGGCGAAGGCGACUACCUGGCCUGUUCUUGACGCUGAGGCGCGAAAGCUAGGGGAGCAAACGGG